rnacentral:pre_miRNA from 1 species
ACAACAUUAGGACCCUCGGUCUACCGAAUAUCACACACUCGGUGGAAGAUCUUCCUUCCCUUUGUCGU